CACACACAGUACCAAUACCUGAUAUUCAUCCCAACAGAACGAAACUGGAAAACAACAUAAAACCUACUGCUGUGAGAAAUGGAGAUGAUGAUUGUGCACUGUAGCAGUCCAGCACAGGGCAGAGGAGAGAAAACAGCUCACCAUGCACCCAGAGGCACGAGGGCAGCGUACAGAUCUUUGGUGUCUGGGACUUUUGUCACUUUCACGGCUGUGACUCCUCGAUCUCUUUGAGUUUGUUCCCCUUGGGUUUGUCUGGACCACACUCUUCCACCUGCCCGCUCGUUACGACUCAGCCACUCCGGUGCUACACCAGCCAGCCACAUCAACUAUCGUGCCAGCCCCAAUCACUCCAGCCACUACCUGCCACCCUCUGUGCUUCACCAGCAAUACUCUGAGCUCACACCAUCUCCAUACCCUGCUCCCCUUUUAAUAAACAUCUUGUCUUUGUUUUGGGGCUGAAUGCCAACUUAGCUGGUAUUUUUCUAACCCCCCCCAAAUAAAUUCAAAAACUGUCCCUAAAG